GGCGCGAUGGCCAAGUGGUAAGGCGGCAGUCUGCAAAACUGCUAUUCGUGGGUUCGAUUCCCGCUCGCGCCUCCA
rnacentral:tRNA from 1 species